rnacentral:lncRNA from 1 species
UUUCAGAACAGUGUAUGCCUUUCUGAGCAACUGUAUCAUUUUUUAAACUGAAUUUUAAGAAUUAUAUUUUUCCAAUUACAAAAUACAGCUCUCAUUGCUAAGCAAUGAUAUUGUGAUUCAACAACUAACCUCUGUGGGUGCUCAUUUUAACACUUUGUCCAGAAGUGUUCAGGACUAACAUACAGAAGUAUAUUUCACAAUUAAAAUUGUACUUAUUCAACAUUAUGUGAUACGUAGCCUGGGUCACCAUUAUGAGGUA